rnacentral:rRNA from 1 species
GACGAACGCUGGCGGCGUGCUUAACACAUGCAAGUCGAACGAUGAAGCUAGAGCUUGCUCUGGUGAAUUAGUGGCGAACGGGUGAGUAACACGUGAGUAACCUGCCCCGAACUCUGGGAUAACUGCUGGAAACGGUAGCUAAUACUGGAUACGACCUACGAAGGCAUCUUCUGUAGGUGGAAAGAAUUUCGGUUCGGGAUGGACUCGCGGCCUAUCAGCUUGUUGGUGAGGUAAUGGCUCACCAAGGCGACGACGGGUAGCCGGCCUGAGAGGGUAACCGGCUACAGUGGGACUGAGACACGGCACAGACUCCUACGGGAGGCAGCAGUGGGGAAUAUUGCACAAUGGGCGCAAGCCUGAUGCAGCAACGCCGCGUGAGGGAUGACGGCCUUCGGGUUGUAAACCUCUUUUAGCAGGGAAGAAGCGAAAGUGACGGUACCUGCAGAAAAAGCACCGGCUAACUACGUGCCAGCAGCCGCCGUAA